rnacentral:misc_RNA from 1 species
GGCUGUAGUUCUUGCUCAGGAGCUGGUGCAUCAACAGGUUUAUAUGUACUCAAUGUUUGUUGUCUUCGCCUCCAAAUGAACCAUAUUCCAGAAGCUGAUAAUCCAAGAAUCAAUGUAAUAAUAACGGCUAAAACCACCAGCAAAUAAUGUUGCUUCCACCAGGCCCGAUUUGCUGGAGGCUCAAUUUUCCAUUGAACCAACUGAUAACUUCCAAAGGUAUCAGGAAGCAGCAUGUGAUGUUCAGCAACCCUGGAAAUUAUACUAAGAGCAGUAGCAUUAGAAAAGUGAUCAGCAGAUCCUGAAGGCACUAUGGACCAUGCAAUG